UUGAACGCUGGCGGCAUGCUUUACACAUGCAAGUCGAACGGCAGCACGGGCUUCGGCCUGGUGGCGAGUGGCGAACGGGUGAGUAAUAUAUCGGAACGUACCCAGAAGUGGGGGAUAACGUAGCGAAAGUUACGCUAAUACCGCAUACGAUCUAUGGAUGAAAGCAGGGGACCGCAAGGCCUUGUGCUCCUGGAGCGGCCGAUAUCUGAUUAGCUAGUUGGUGAGGUAAAGGCUCACCAAGGCGACGAUCAGUAGCUGGUCUGAGAGGACGACCAGCCACACUGGAACUGAGACACGGUCCAGACUCCUACGGGAGGCAGCAGUGGGGAAUUUUGGACAAUGGGCGCAAGCCUGAUCCAGCAAUGCCGCGUGAGUGAAGAAGGCCUUCGGGUUGUAAAGCUCUUUUGUCAGGGAAGAAACGGUAGAGGCUAAUAUCCUUUGCUAAUGACGGUACCUGAAGAAUAAGCACCGGCUAACUACGUG
rnacentral:rRNA from 1 species